UUUGUUGCGAAUGCUGCAAGACUCCCGUUUCUUUGAACUAAUAGUCUAUUGUCCACUCAGAAUCACUUACAAUAUUAUCAUCAUUUGUACUCUCUCUCGGUCACAGAUGUACGGUAUUUUAGCCUCUGCUAAAUGCAUAUCGUUCUAUAUAUAAUUUCUAGGCUACUUUACCCUAGCUAUUAUUCUCUCGGUCUGUCCAGCUGAGGGCAAAUAUAAUGGUCCUUCAGAUCCACUUCCCUCUUUAAUUAGUUCGUUCAUGCGUUUAAGGCUCCGUUUAGUUCCGGAGAACUAAGAACCCGUUUAGUUCCGGAGAACUAAAAUUUAGCCCUGUCAUAUCAAAGAAAAUCUUGCUAUUUAGAAGUAUUAAAUAAAAUCUGUUUACAAAUUUAUUUUACAGAUAGAUGCUAAUUCACGAGAUGAUUUUAAUGAGCCUGAUUAACCUAUGAUUUGCUACAUUAAUGCUGUAGUACCCAUCCGCUAAUUAUGAAUUAACAUAUCUUAUUAGAUUCAUCUCAUGAAUUAGCCUAGAGAUUCUGCAAUUAGUUUUGUAAUUAGAUUUUAUUUAAUAUUUCUAAAUGAUAAAAUUCUCUUUGAUGUGACAGGACUAAAAUUUAGCCCUCUGAAACCAAACACCCUCUAACUCUUAAACAUCAUCUGAUUUGUUACUUUUAUUUCUAUAUAGUAAGUAGGCCAUUUACAGUGGAUAGUCGUUGUAUCGAUCCAUAAAAUUUCCUGCUUUAUACAAACCGAAAGAAACGAAGGUGUAGUAAAUAUGGUCACAUUGUUGAUGAAAAUCUAGCUAACAUUUACUAUUUCACAGGUGGUGGGAGUUAUUUGACAAAGUUUUUAGGUAGAGUCAUGUGAAAUUAAAUGUGGCCAUAAAUAAUGUGGUGUGUGGUUAAGGGCAGACACACAAGGAUAAUCACACGCAAUUCUCCUGUUGGGAGUUAUUUGACAAAGUUUCACUUUAUUUGCAAUUUUCCUGUUGCGGUGCUCCAAUAAUUCAGCUAGAUAGAGUGACAUAGAAUAAUCACACGCAAAAAUAAGAUCAAAGAGGUGAAAAGAUGAAAGUUCAAGAGGAGACAAUUAAUAAAGCAGCUGGAAUUUUCUUUUGAUUUGCGACCUCAACAUAUAGCCAGCUAAACGGUGAAUUAAAUUUACUACUCACAAAACGCACAAAUAAUCGCUGGUAAUUACAGGGGGAAGAUAGAUAGAUGUAUCUCACUCUAGCUAGCUAGUGCCUGACAAAAUAAUCCUAGCUAGUUGCAUGUGAAAUGUGGCCAUAAAUGUGUGUGGUCAAAGGAAGACACUGCAGGACAUAAAUGAGUGAUGGAGAAAUAAUUGGGCAGCAACGGUCAAGAUCUUUUUACAAGUAAGACUAACUGAACUCCCAGUGUCCGGAAUCACCAUUUAGUUUGGCUAAUAACUAGCUUGUUUUUCUGCAGACUUGGAUCUUGUUUUUUUCUGAUCGGCCAUAAGUAGUGCAUGCAUGCAUGCAUCUAAUAUACUUGAUCUAUUCUGAAAUAUUCUUUAAUAAAGCCUCCAGAGACCUAAUGCUAUAUGAGUUUUUUCCCCCCUUUGCAGUCUUAUUACCUAUGGUACGGUGAAAGCCAGAGUGACAAUUACACACAAAUAUAAGAUGAAACAACCAAAUCACAGAGGUGAAAAUAAAGAUGAAAGUUAAGGAGAAAAGAACUAAUGCAUGGGACUAUUAUUAGAUCCAAAUAAUUAAUCACUAUUAUUUCUUUCUCGGAUGGAUGCCAGAAUUUCAUUUUGACUUGCAACCUCAAUUAUUCAAACAGCAUAUACAGACCAGUAGCACCGCAUCACCAGCAGACCUCAAUUACUCAAACUGCAUAAUAAGAUGAAACCAGCAAAUCAAAGAGGUCAGAAGAUGAAAGUAGUUCAUCAGGAGAAGAAGAACGGGACCAUCCAAAUAAUCGCCAUCUCUCCAUCUCUGAUAUAUAGAUGCGAGAGUUUUAUCGCGACCUCAUAAUUACUCAAACUAGCUACAUAUAGAUGCAGCAGCACAGCAUGUGUAGCUAAAACAGUACUGAAUUGAAUUUAUAUAUACUACUCACAAAUUAAAACGCAUUAAUAAUCAUUGGUACUUACAGACCGGAUCAGAUGUAGCUCGAUCAUCACCCUGCCUAGCUAAUAGUUAAGCUAGUGCCUGUCAAUCCUAGACAUGCCUAUCAAGGAGGCCGCCGCCGGGGAGUAGUAGUAUGUAGUUGAAGCGCCUGCUGAGAUGGACGACGACGCCGGCGGCCGACGGAAGACCAGGCCGGAGACCCGUACCGCCACGACGAGCGCCGUGCCGAUAUCCACAGCCAUGUCGACGACCUCUUGCAGUCUGCAGAUGCUUCUUCUCAUCAUCACUCGCAGCAGGACAUGGAGCACGCACUCCAUGGACGCCAUCGUCGUCUAGCCUCCUCUCUUGCUGCUGCUGCUGCUGCUGCUAGCUGCUUUUGUUGUAUCGAUUGCUAGCAGACCUGCAACUGAUGCGACAGACGACGCAAGAGAGGUGCCCUUGACCUCUUUAAUUUGCUUCUCUUUCUUCGUUGAAGUUGAGCUUGCUAGGUAGCUAUACCUCACGGCCGGCGUGUGUGCGUUGGACGGGCAGGUAGCUUGUUUUUGUC
rnacentral:lncRNA from 1 species